CCCAUGGUAACCACUUCUGCACAGAGGCGAGUGAGUGAGUGAGUGGGUAGGGUUUCAGCUGUUCAGCGAGUGCUCUCUGGUGAUCUCGCAGAGAUAGUAGUCUAGAGCCUGUCGUCCAGGACACUGCAGGACCGCUUUGAAGAGCUCAUCAAAUGGCAAAGCUGAACCACACGGCAACUGAAUAGAGCUCCCUUUCAAAUAGGAAAUGACUUGUUGAUUUAUCCAAAUCUACAGAAUGCCACACAUGACUUUGAUAUAGACACUCACCUGAAGAUAGUAAGGUGGUUGGAGAAGAAGACAGUUAGUUGCAACCCCCCCCUGUCAAAAGUUAGGUCGUAAGGAUUUCUAUACCUUACGAUUCGCUUUUCAUCUUUCUCCCGAUGAAUAUUGGAAUUUCGUAGUGGAUAAAAAUCGAAUAGACACUUACAACAAAAAUGGAAGAAGAUCAAAAGUGGGGAGUUGUUGAUAAAAGUGUGCGGAUGACUUGCAGUGACCACCGUUGCAAAAAGCGCUUUUGGACGAAUUGGAAAGAUUUGUCCGGUAUAACUGUCUGCAUCGCAUUAUCUUUAUUGUCUCUUGGAUUUUGCGUUCUCGUUUACCUGAGUACAUCGGAGCUGAAGUCCAGGAUACUAAACCUGGAAAAACAGAGAGAUACGCAGCUCUCCUCGUGGAUCACACUCGAGCAGGUGGAACCCGUUGUCUUUGGACGAAUAGAUCAGAUUCUGGAAGAGAAAUUGGCGGCUCGACUUCCCAAAACACGAGAGACCAGAGAAGCGCCCCAUAGCUGUGUCUGUCCACCAGGGCCUCCUGGGUCGAGGGGAAAGAGAGGUCACAAUGGGGAUCCAGG